GUUUUCGUGGUAGAACUGGAAUCAUACUCGAUUCGUAUUCGAGAGGUCUAGGGUUCGAGUCCCGGUGAGGACA
rnacentral:tRNA from 1 species